rnacentral:rRNA from 1 species
GGCGAGGGGAGUGAAAAAGAACCUGAAACCGUGUACGUACAAGCAGUGGGAGCACAGAGCAAUCUGUGUGACUGCGUACCUUUUGUAUAAUGGGUCAGCGACUUAUAUUCUGUAGCAAGGUUAACCGAAUAGGGGAGCCGAAGGGAAACCGAGUCUUAACUGGGCGUUAAGUUGCAGGGUAUAGACCCGAAACCCGGUGAUCUAGCCAUGGGCAGGUUGAAGGUUGGGUAACACUAACUGGAGGACCGAACCGACUAAUGUUGAAAAAUUAGCGGAUGACUUGUGGCUGGGGGUGAAAGGCCAAUCAAACCGGGAGAUAGCUGGUUCUCCCCGAAAGCUAUUUAGGUAGCGCCUCGUGAAUUCAUCUCCGGGGGUAGAGCACUGUUUCGGCAAGGGGGUCAUCCCGACUUACCAACCCGAUGCAAACUGCGAAUACCGGAGAAUGUUAUCACGGGAGACACACGGCGGGUGCUAACGUCCGUCGUGAAGAGGGAAACAACCCAGACCGCCAGCUAAGGUCCCAAAGUCAUGGUUAAGUGGGAAACGAUGUGGGAAGGCCCAGACAGCCAGGAUGUUGGCUUAGAAGCAGCCAUCAUUUAAAGAAAGCGUAAUAGCUCACUGGUCGAGUCGGCCUGCGCGGAAGAUGUAACGGGGCUAAACCAUGCACCGAAGCUGCGGCAGCGACGCUUAUGCGUUGUUGGGUAGGGGAGCGUUCUGUAAGCCUGUGAAGGUGUACUGUGAGGUAUGCUGGAGGUAUCAGAAGUGCGAAUGCUGACAUAAGUAACGAUAAAGCGGGUGAAAAGCCCGCUCGCCGGAAGACCAAGGGUUCCUGUCCAACGUUAAUCGGGGCAGGGUGAGUCGACCCCUAAGGCGAGGCCGAAAGGCGUAGUCGAUGGGAAACAGGUUAAUAUUCCUGUACUUGGUGUUACUGCGAAGGGGGGACGGAGAAGGCUAUGUUGGCCGGGCGACGGUUGUCCCGGUUUAAGCGUGUAGGCUGGUUUUCCAGGCAAAUCCGGAAAAUCAAGGCUGAGGCGUGAUGACGAGGCACUACGGUGCUGAAGCAACAAAUGCCCUGCUUCCAGGAAAAGCCUCUAAGCAUCAGGUAACAUCAAAUCGUACCCCAAACCGACACAGGUGGUCAGGUAGAGAAUACCAAGGCGCUUGAG